rnacentral:rRNA from 1 species
GAUCCUGGCUCAGGAUGAACGCUAGCUACAGGCUUAACACAUGCAAGUCGAGGGGCAGCAUUUUAGUUUGCUUGCAAACUGAAGAUGGCGACCGGCGCACGGGUGAGUAACACGUAUCCAACCUGCCGAUAACUCCGGAAUAGCCUUUCGAAAGAAAGAUUAAUACCGGAUGGCAUACGAAUAUCGCAUGAUAUUUAUAUUAAAGAAAUUACGGUAUGAGAUGGGGAGUGCGUUCCU